CAGGCACCGACCUCCCCUAACUGCCCACGUGCACCUGAACAGCGAUGACGGGCUGCAGGGCGUCACUGUUUCCAUACUCUUAAUUCCUUCCCCAGACACCUCCAGCUCACGGCGGGUACCUUUGCCAAGUCAUCUCAGCCUCAGUCACCAUCACGCUGGGGUCUUUUUCAGUAUAAAAUGUCUCAUCCACCUAAAAUAAAGCUCUUGAUAAGAUUAGUCUUAUAAACUGUGUGGAUGCUGAGGCGGUACGCUCCAGAUUGGCCCACAGUAACAGAGUGUCAGGAUCUCAGGAAACGGCUUCUGCACGCCCCCCGUGCCUUUGUCUUGGUUGCAGAGCAGAGGCAAGCACGAGGCCCACGGUUUGACGGACAUGACCCCCCCCCCCAUCCUUGAGAAACCACUGUGAAAACAGAGGUGACAUCAUUUUGUGAAGGACACAGCGUUCUUCCACUCACACAGGCCAUGAAAAAUAGGUGGCAAAAUCAAACACGUGAGGCACAAUUUAUGUCAUAAAUGUACGGCAAAUUUGAACCACUGGCAGUUAGUCAGGUUGUUGGCUUCUGGUUUGCGGGGACCGGUUGUCCCUGCAGUGCUGUGGCUUAGGCCAUAGGGUAGUUCAUGUCGCGUGACUGAUCUGACACUGAGUCCCGGUAAAGGCAUUCCAGCCUGCAAUACCCUCUUCCUUUACUCCGACGCUGUUCGGAUUUCUUCGCGUCUCCCUGCUGAGGCAACCAGGAAUUACAGGUUCAUGCGAGUUCAUCUGUACAAAGCCACAGAACACCUCCUUUCUCAUGCAGGAACCUAGCAGAUACAGUCCGCUAUUGGCAGGGAUCGCUAAUGUGAUGCAGGAAGACUCAUCCUCGAACAGUUUUCCGCUCCUCGUCCUGGAAGAAAAGUUUAUGCUUGCAGUGUUGUCCAAGGACAAAACCAAUACAGACGUUCAGGAACAGAAUUUUUUGUACCCAAAUGGAAGCUGCAUCUUCUUAGUGCGAUCUCUCAGCCAUGGCAUCAGUUGAGGCAGGUACCGAGAGGUAACCCUCAUUUCAGACCGCAGGGUUGAAACCGGGAAGACCAGUCGAGAGAACGAGAACUAGACCCUGAUGGAAGCGGGACAAAACCCGCCUUCGGGCGACCGUUACCGCCGCGACGCGGCCCGCGGGCGCCAUCUUGUGGGCAGGCGGCCAUUAGCCGCGGGCGCGCCGGUCACGUCCCCCUUCUCCUGAGGGGGCUCCCGGGCGGCCGGGCCGAUCGGUACGGCCGGCGCUGCGGAGCGCGCGGGCCCCGCCGGUCGGAGCGGCGGCGGCUGCCGGCCCCAGGGUGCCCUGAGGGGGCUCAUGUCGGGGGCGCUGGCGGCUGUUUCCAGCACAGCGCCCAACAGUGACCUGAGUGCACGAGUUGUGGGGGCGUGACGGCUCCGAGGCUUUCAGAAUUCCCUUGUUUCCCCUUUCUCUCCGAGCACUUGAUUUACGGAUGAAAGACUUCGCAACUCAGGGUUGUAAAGCAGCAAGGGGGAGAAGACGAGGCUGCUGGAGCGCCGCGGGAGGGCCCAGGGACUGCCCGCCAUGCCAAGGAGCUGCGAGCAGCCCCGAAGAGCUGUCACGGCGCCCACCCUUUCCAGCCGGAGAGCUGCCAGCAACGGUGACGUGUGGAAAACAGAUUCCACAAUCUGAUAGAUUGUAAAGUAGGUAAUCAUAGGUGAAACACAGGGAAACUGAAUUGAAUUCACCUUUGAAUAAGUGGGAAAGCAGAAAAGUUUCUUUGUUCAUCGCUACCGCACUCUUUCUCCAUUCCUUUAGUGUGUAUUUACAAUAUAGUUUUUUAAACAGGAAAGUAAAUCAAGAUUGUAGAAUGCUGCUGUAUGAAAAACAUGAUCAAAUUCAGAUCCCUUUUAUGGUAGGAUGAACGACAGCUAAAAGUCAUCAACAUACUUAUUCCAUAAUGCAAUCUAUCUUAAAAUCCUAAAAACCCAUUAUGUAAAUUGGGCUAGUAUAUGAAUG